rnacentral:rRNA from 1 species
UCGCCUGUUUUAUCAAAAACAUCGCUGAAUCUAAAAUUCAGUAGUACCUGCCCGGUGAAUCUUUAACGGCCGCAGUAUUUUAACUGUGCAAAGGUAGCAUAAUCAUUAGUUUUUUAAUUGAAAACUCGUAUGAAUGAUUUGACGAAAAACUUCCUCUCUCCAAGGAUACAUAAAACUUACUUCUGCGGUAAAAAAGCCUCAAAUAACCUAAAAGACGACAAGACCCUAUAAAACUUUACUUACUCUUCUACUUAAUUUCUUAAGAAAUCUAAACCGUAGGCGCUGAGUUUAACUGGGGCGGUUAACUUUAAUUUAAACACCUUUAACUUUAACAUCUUGAAUGAACUUCACAAACAUAUUUAAAUAACUUAUAACAAGUUACUUUAGGGAUAACAGCAUAAUAUUCCUUCAGAGCUCUUAUCGGCAGGAAUCUAUGUGACCUCGAUGUUGAAUUGAUAGUUCCCUUUAGAGCAGCAUCUAAAGAAGAAAGUCUGUUCGACUUUUAAUUUAUCACAUGAUCUGAGUUCCAAACCGGA